rnacentral:rRNA from 1 species
CGCGUAGGCGGCUCACAUAGUCUGAUGUGAAAGCCCGGGGCUCAACCCCGGAAGUGCAUUGGAAACUGGUGGGCUUGAGUUCGGGAGAGGAAGGCAGAAUUCCCGGUGUAGGGUUGAAAUCCGUAGAUAUCGGGAGGAAAACCGGUGGCGAAGGCGGCCUUCUGGAACGAAACUGACGCUGAGGCGCGAAAGCGUGGGGAGCAAACAGGAUUAGAGACCCUGGUAGUCCACGCUGUAAACGAUGGAUGCUGGGUGUGAGGUUCAAUACGGAACUUCGUGCCGAAGCUAACGCAUUAAGCAUCCCGCCUGGGGAGUACGGUCGCAAGACUAAA